ACGAACGCUGGCGGCGUGCUUAACACAUGCAAGUCGAACGAGGUAGCAAUACCUAGUGGCGGACGGGUGAGUAACGCGUAGGUAAUCUGCCCAUCGGUGGGGGAUACCCAGUCGAAAGAUUGGUUAAUACCGCAUUCGCUAGUCUCUUGAAAUAGGGAUUAGGAAAGAUUUAUUGCCGAUGGAUGAGCCUGCGUCUGAUUAGCUAGUUGGUGGGGUAACGGCCCACCAAGGCGACGAUCAGUAGCUGGUCUGAGAGGACGAUCAGCCACACUGGAACUGAGACACGGUCCAGACUCCUACGGGAGGCAGCAGUGGGGAAUUUUCCGCAAUGGGCGAAAGCCUGACGGAGCAACGCCGCGUGGAGGAUGAAGCCUUUCGGGGUGUAAACUCCUUUCAGUCGGGACGAGACGAAGACGGUACCGACAGAAGAAGCAUCGGCUAACUACGU
rnacentral:rRNA from 1 species